rnacentral:rRNA from 1 species
UUUAGAGGAAGUAAAAGUCGUAACAAGGUUUCCGUAGGUGAACCUGCGGAAGGAUCAUUAAUGGAUUUACAGAGGGUUGAUGCUGGUAGUUUAUCUACAUGUGCCCACUCUUCUGAUUUAUUUACACCUGUGCACUUAAUUUUUUUCAAGGGUCAGGGUAGAACCUGCCUUUGGGACUUAUAAGCCCCUAACCCCUAUAUUGGAACAAUGGAUGUUUAUCUGCCGCAAGGCAAAAUUUUUAAUACAACUUUUAACAACGGAUCUCUUGGCUCUCGCAUCGAUGAAGAACGCAGCGAAAUGCGAUAAGUAAUGUGAAUUGCAGAAUUCAGUGAAUCAUCGAAUCUUUGAACGCAUCUUGCGCUCUCUGGUAUUCCGGGGAGCACACCUGUUCGAGUGUCAUUAAGACUCUCAAAUAAAGGUGGCUCUGGCAGCCAUCUCUGUUUGGACUUGGGCUUUGCUGCAUUAAUGUGGCUAGUCUUAAAUCUAUUAGCUGAUCCUUGUUGAGAUUUUGGUUCUACUCAGUGUGAUAAUUAUCUAGCAUUGAGGACAGUCUCAGAACUGGCCAUAGCUCUCUCUGGAUUGCUUCUAAAAGUGUCUUGGGGACAAUUGCUUAAUUUCUGACCUCGAAUCAGGUGGGACUACCCGCUGAACUUAAGCAUAUCAAUAA